rnacentral:misc_RNA from 1 species
GCGGAGCAGUGAAAAAGUGGUGAAAGAAACCGAAGAUCACAAGUACGAGUGACGUGGACGUACCUCUGGCUUCCCUCAUAUACCUGCUAGAAACUCGUGACGUCACACAUACGUUUCUUAUCACUUCUCCGCUCCUACCUUAUAUACAUGGAAACAUGUGCAUGCAUGCGACAAACUAUAGCCACCCGAACGUUGCUAUACGAAUAGAGAUUACGAGGUGUUACUUGUGAGAACUUAAAAAUCCGG